CGGACGGGUGAGUAACGCGUGGGGAACCUGCCUCAUACAGGGGAAUAACAGCUGGAAACGGCUGCUAAUGCCGCAUAAGCGCACAGCACCGCAUGGUGCAGUGUGAAAAACUCCGGUGGUAUGAGAUGGCCCCGCGUCUGAUUAGGCAGUUGGCGGGGUAACGGCCCACCAAACCGACGAUCAGUAGCCGACCUGAGAGGGUGACCGGCCACAUUGGGACUGAGACACGGCCCAAACUCCUACGGAAGGCAGCAG
rnacentral:rRNA from 1 species